CCCACGCUCGGCAGUGGGGUUUCCCCGGCAGCGGCCCCACGUGGCCCUCCCGGACUGCCUUGCCUUCCUCCGCAGGGAAGCAGCUGGGCCCUCGGCGGAGCAGCCUCCAGCCCUCUUUCCCGGCGGCUGGCCAGAGAAGGAGAGGAAGUGACGCUGCCCACGCAGUUGCUGGGAGACAAAGUUUUAUAGAGGGAAGAAGAGGGGGGUGAAAAGAACACAAAUAGUUAUAUUCAGGGAGGAGGAGCAGCAGCAGGGUAGUUCUUCCUUCUCCCUCAGUACUCCAGACAAUGCGAGAGAGGACAAGGUGGAGGGAAAUUUACUUUCUGGAAGAUUUCUCUGUCCGGGGGUCCCCUCUAAUAGCAGCAGCAGCAGCAGCAAGAUCUUUAAGGGAUAUCCAAGUUCAUCUGUUGACUAUCUAUAUUGGGUCUGAAAAUGGAGAGAAACCAUAAUGGAAGAGAAUGCAUCCUUAGAUGGGCAUAUUGAACAUUGACAUUUCAUGAGGCCAUAAGCCCCAGUAACCUUUGAAUCUGAUGUACCCGCUGAACUGGCUUCUCCCAGAAAAUCUGAAUCAAGUCUUCAGCAUCGCCAGUGGAGAUGCCUGCACCACCGUUGUUGGAACCCAACAGGGACAGUGUUCAAUGGACUUCAAUGCCAAGGCAUCCAUCAACUUGUGGAGUCUUCACUUCUGAUGGCGACUCAAAGCCGUUCCUCAAUCUGAGAAUCUUUUCCUUGUUUCCUAUGGUUUCCCAGAGGCAGAAUCUUUUGAGAUCUCCACUGGGCGUUUCAAUAUAUGCUCCCCCAAUGUUUAUCUCGAAGCUGAAGUAGACGUUGAUAGUUUAAUCAGUGUUGACAUAGAGGUUGGUACUGACAAAGGUGGCAGCAGGGAAUGCGGCUGUGUCAGGGGAUGAAGUGCUUGCUCAUACAGAGCUGCCCUGAACCCAAGUCCCCGGUUUUUAAAAAUUCGAUGAGAGAAGGAUGUGUAAGUUCUGUAGGUCCUUGUAUUAUGAUCCUCAGCUUAACAGAACAAACAAGAGUCAUGCUGAUCUGUCGAGGGCAACUUUCCUCCACAAUCCUUGCACUCCUUAAAUUCAACCCCCCACCAGUGUCCAUUCAGAAAUCAGAAACUAAAACCAAGCCAUGUCAAACUGGGAAAACAGACCAAAUCAGUUAACAAAACCAAGUCCAUUUAGCAAUGAGUAGUCUAGCACUAAGUCAAAAACACGUGUGUGUGUGUGUGUGUGUGUGUGUGUAGGUAGAAUCAAGUCCAACUGAGGAGCUCUAGCUGACGGGCUGAACUCUUUGGCGGUCAGAAAGGAACUAAACAAAAGGCGUUCCACGUGUAGGAUCCUAACCCAGGCUUAUGAAUGUCCUAAGGAUUAAAAUAUAGAAAAAAAGUACUACAAGUUAUUUCACAAAGCUAAAGAUCCUUAUUAAAUAGUAUGCAUAUGAUGUAGCAGCCAGAUAAAUGGGGGAGAGAGAGAAAACACAAAAUUGAACUGCUUCUAAUACAAACUUUUUGAGCUGCAGAUAUUCAAGAGCUAUUGUGUUUAAUACUCAUUCUGGAGGACAGAAAUACUCUUCUGGAGGACGUAAUACUCAUUCUGGAGGACAGAAGGUCACGAUAAUUUCAUAAAUCUAAACACUUGUACAAGAUUCAAGAACAAAAAUUCCUCAGUCAUUGUCACCCCAAUCAUUGCUCUUCUCUUUUAAAAUGAAUUAAUUUUAUUCUGGUAAAUAAAAAUCACUACCACAGACA